rnacentral:rRNA from 1 species
GUGGGGAAUUUUGCGCAAUGGGCGAAAGCCUGACGCAGCGACGCCGCGUGGAGGAUGAAGGUCUUCGGAUCGUAAACUCCUGUCAGGCGGGACGAAGGGGUCGGCGGCUAAUAGCCGACGGCCUUGACGGUACUGCCAGAGGAAGCCCCGGCUAACUCCGUGCCAGCAGCCGCGGUAAUACGGAGGGGGCAAGCGUUGUUCGGAAUUACUGGGCGUAAAGGGCGAGUAGGCGGCCCCGUAAGUCAUGUGUGAAAGCCCUCGGCUUAACCGAGGAACUGCACCUGAAACUGCGGGGCUUGAGUCCGGGAGAGGGGAGCGGAAUUCCCAGUGUAGCGGUGAAAUGCGUAGAUAUUGGGAGGAACACCUGUGGCGAAGGCGGCUCCCUGGACCGGUACUGACGCUCAGGAGCGAAAGCUAGGGUAGCGAAUGGGAUUAGAUACCCUAGUAGUCC